rnacentral:rRNA from 1 species
CCCUAUGGGGUGCAGCAGGCUCUAGAACUCGGUCGAAGAUACGAAAACAAAAACGUAUCGUCCAUCUCGUUUCAGAUCUCGCUCGUUCCCUCCGGACCGCUGAAAUAGCCUUUGGCGGUCAAACCAUUCCCAUUCUACGAGAUGAUCGCCUAAGAGAGUGGAAUUAUGGGAAGUUUAACGGUUCCUCAACAGAUGAGGUUGAAAACCUUAAGCAACAACACCUUUCCAUUCCCUUCCCCGAGGGAGAAAGCCUUGAACAAGUGAUGGAAAGAUUUCUUUCCUUCAAAAAUGAGUGUUUACAAGGAGCAACGAACGGGCCUGUGCUGAUAAUUGGCCAUAGGGCCAUCUACUAUGCCCUGGAGUUCUAUUGUCACAACGUCCCGAUUAAGAAGCUCGUAACAAAUCCGUGGAAUUGGCGGGGGGGC